UCGACUCAAAGCCUGCAAACCUGCAGAAAUCGUAUUUUGUGAUUUUCAUGCAUUUCGUCAUGAUCACACUUUGUCCAUAUGUGUUUUUAAGAAUUAUAACAGAUUUAGAUAAGCAUAGGAAAGGAUAUGAUCGGUGAUGUGUUGCAUUUGUUUGUAGACAUGCAUGGUGGUCAUUUGUCAUCAUCAAAACUUGCGAUCGUAUGUUGUCUGACACUUUGCCCUUACACUCCAUUGUGG
rnacentral:lncRNA from 1 species